AGUGAACGCUGGCGGUAGGCCUAACACAUGCAAGUCGAACGGCAGCACAGUAAGAGCUUGCUCUUACUGUUGGCGAGUGGCGGACGGGUGAGGAAUACAUCGGAAUCUACUUUUUCGUGGGGGAUAACGUAGGGAAACUGACGCUAAUACCGCAUACGACCUACGGGUGAAAGCAGGGGAUCUUCGGACCUUUCGCGAUUGAAUGAGCCGAUGUCGGAUUAGCUAGUUGGCGGGGUAAGGGCCCACCAAGGCGACGAUCCGUAGCUGGUCUGAGAGGAUGAUCAGCCACACUGGAACUGAGACACGGUCCAGACUCCUACGGGAGGCAGCAGUGGGGAAUAUUGGACAAUGGGCGCAAGCCUGAUCCAGCCAUACCGCGUGGGUGAAGAAGGCCUUCGGGUUGUAAAGCCCUUUUGUUGGGAAAGAAAAGCAGCAGGUUAAUACCCCGCUGUUCUGACGGUACCCAAAGAAUAAGCACCGGCUAACUUCGUG
rnacentral:rRNA from 1 species